rnacentral:rRNA from 1 species
AAACCCCCUCGCCGAAAGACUAAGGUUUCCUGAUCAACGCUAAUCGGAUCAGGGUCAGUCGGGUCCUAAGGCUCAGCCGAACGGCGAUGCCGAUGGCAGAAACGGUUAAUAUUCCGUUACUACCUUCAGGAGUGACGUGGAGACGCAGUAGUGACAGUGCCGCCAUCUGACGGAAUAGAUGGUUGAAGGGUGUAGGAGUCGAUCAUGGCAGGCAAAUCCACCAUGAGAUCCGAACCUGAUAGUAUGCCGCGUCCUUCGGGACAAGGCAAUAGUGCGCGUAAGCAUGCUGCCGAGAAAAUCCGCUAAACUUAAUCCUGUAGGUACCCGUACCGCAAACGGACACACGUAGUCGGGAUGAAUAUUCUAAGGCGCUUGAGUGAUUCACGGUUAAGGAACUAGGCAAACUGACCCUGUAACUUCGGGAUAAAGGGUCCCUACCCUUUUAUGGGAGGGCGCAGAGAAUCGGUCCAGGCAACUGUUUAACAAAAACACAGGGCUGUGCCAAAUCGAAAGAUCCAGUAUACAGCCUGACACCUGCCCGGUGCUGGAAGGUUAAGAGGAGAUGUCAUCGAUAAGAGAAGCGUUGAAUUGAAGCCCCAGUAAACGGCGGCCGUAACUAUAACGGUCCUAAGGUAGCGAAAUUCCUUGUCGGGUAAGUUCCGACCUGCACGAAUGGUGUAAUGAUCUGGACGCUGUCUCAACCGUGAGCUCAGUGAAAUUGUAGUAUCGGUGAAGAUGCCGAUUACCCGCGAUGGGACGAAAAGACCCCGUGAACCUUUACUAUAGCUUAUCAUUGAAUCUGGGCACGUGAUGUGUAGGAUAGGUCGGAGGCUUUGAAGCAGGUACGCCAGUAUUUGUGGAGCCGCUGUUGAAAUACGACCCUUUAUUUGUUUGGAUUCUAACCCGUGGAUACGGGGACAUUGAUUGGUGGGUAGUUUGACUGGGGUGGUCGCCUCCAAAAGCGUAACGGAGGCUUCUAAAGGUGCCCUCCGGCCGAUUGGUAACCGGCCUUAGAGUGUAAUGGCAUAAGGGCGCUUGACUGGGAGACUGACAAGUCGAUCAGGUAGGAAACUAGAGCAUAGUGAUCCGGUGUUUCCGUAUGGA